rnacentral:rRNA from 1 species
ACUUGAGUGCAGAAGAGGAGAGCGGAAUUCCACGUGUAGCGGUGAAAUGCGUAGAUAUGUGGAGGAACACCAGUGGCGAAGGCGGCUCUCUGGUCUGUAACUGACGCUGAGGUGCGAAAGCGUGGGGAGCGAACAGGAUUAGAUACCCUGGUAGUCCACGCCGUAAACGAUGAGUGCUAGGUGUUAGGGGGUUUCCGCCCCUUAGUGCUGCAGUUAACGCAAUAAGCACUCCGCCUGGGGAGUACGGCCGCAAGGCUGAAACUCAAAAGAAUUGACGGGGGCCCGCACAAGCGGUGGAGCAUGUGGUUUAAUUCGAAGCAACGCGAAGAACCUUACCAGGUCUUGACAUCUUCGGAUGUCCCUAGAGAUAGGGAGUUCCCUUCGGGGACCGAAUGACAGGUGGUGCAUGGUUGUCGUCAGCUCGUGUCGUGAGAUGUUGGGUUAAGUCCCGCAACGAGCGCAACCCUUGAUCUUAGUUGCCAGCAUUCAGUUGGGCACUCUAAGGUGACUGCCGGUGACAAACCGGAGGAAGGUGGGGAUGACGUCAAAUCAUCAUGCCCCUUAUGACCUGGGCUACACACGUGCUACAAUGGAUGGAACAAAGGGCAGCGAAGCGGCAACGCAUUAGCAAAUCCCAUAAAUCCAUUCUCAGUUCGGAUUGCAGGCUGCAACUCGCCUGUAUGAAGCCGGAAUCGCUAGUAAUCGUGGAUCAGCAUGCCACGGUGAAUACGUUCCCGGGCCUUGUACACACCGCCCGUCACACCACGAGAGUUGGCAACACCCGAAGUCUAUGAGUUGAUCC